CCUGGUUGAUCCUGCCAGUAGUCAUAUGCUUGUCUCAAAGAUUAAGCCAUGCAUGUCUAAGUACAUGCCGAAACAAGGCGAAACCGCGAAUGGCUCAUUAAAUCAGUUAUGGUUCCUUAGAUCGUUUCUUCCUACUUGGAUAACUGUGGCAAUUCUAGAGCUAAUACAUGCAGUGAGCCCGAAGCCCCUCGGGGCGACGGGUGCUUUUAUUAGACCAAGAUCAAUCGGGCUUCGGUCCGUUUUGUGUGGUGACUCUGGAUAACUUUGUGCUGAUCGCACGGCCACGAGCCGGCGACGUUUCUUUCAAGUGUCUGCCUUAUCAACUGUCGAUGGUAGGUUAUGCGCCUACCAUGGUUGUUACGGGUAACGGAGAAUCAGGGUUCGAUUCCGGAGAGGGAGCCUGAGAAACGGCUACCACAUCCAAGGAAGGCAGCAGGCGCGCAAAUUACCCACUCCCGGCACGGGGAGGUAGUGACGAAAAAUAACAAUACGGGACUCUUUUGAGGCCCCGUAAUUGAAAUGAGUACACUCUAAAUCCUUUAACGAGGAUCCAUUGGAGGGCAAGUCUGGUGCCAGCAGCCGCGGUAAUUCCAGCUCCAAUAGCGUAUACUAAAGUUGCUGCGGUUAAAAAGCUCGUAGUUGGAUCUCAGUUACAGGCGGGAAGUGCGUGGACACCACGUUACGGCCCGUGCUGAACAUCAUGCCUGUCGUGGCUUGGUUCCCUUCAUCAGGUGCCUUGCUUUGGCCGGCGCGUUUACUUUGAAAAAAUUAGAGUGCUCAACGCAGGCGAUUCGCCUGAAUAACAGUGCAUGGAAUAAUAGAACAAGAUCCUGUUUCUGUUCUGUUGGUUUUUGGAAUACAGGAUAAUGAUUAAGAGGGACAGACGGGGGCAUUCGUAUUGCGGCGCUAGAGGUGAAAUUCUUGGACCGUCGCAAGACGAACUACUGCGAAAGCAUUUGCCAAGAAUGUUUUCAUUGAUCAAGAACGAAAGUUAGAGGUUCGAAGGCGAUCAGAUACCGCCCUAGUUCUAACC
rnacentral:rRNA from 1 species